CACAAUCAUGGGGAAGACUGCUGACUUGACAGUUGUCCAAAAGACGACCAUUGACACCUUGCACAAGGAGGGCUAGUCAAAGCACUUCAUGCUUUCUGCUGCUGACCAACUUUAUGAAGAUGCAGAUUUCAUUUUCCAACAGGACUUGGCACCUGCACACAGUGCCAAAGCUACCAGUACCUGGUUUAAGGACCAUGGUAUCCCUGUUCUUCAUUGGCCAGCAAACUCGCCUGA